UGCAGAAGUCCCAGGUUCAACCCUAGGCCCCAUCUCAGGCUGGGGCUGGCAGAGAUUCCUGCCUGAGAACCUGCACAGCCAUUGCUGACAGUCGCUGUAGACAGUC
ensembl:snoRNA small nucleolar RNA SNORA5